rnacentral:snoRNA from 1 species
AUCUCAUGAUUUGGACACUUUCUCAUCAACUCCUUAAAUCUGUUUCAUGCGUCGUGAUAGCUCUCCCCAUCUUUCUAUUGAAUGGUUUGAAUUUUCAAUAUGAUUUU